GGUUCGAUGGUGUAGUUGGUUAUCACGUCAGUCUAACACACUGAAGGUCUCCAGUUCGAACCUGGAUCGAAUCA
rnacentral:tRNA from 2 species